AGUGAACGCUGGCGGUAGGCCUAACACAUGCAAGUCGAACAGCAGCACAGUAAGAGCUUGCUCUUACGGGUGGCGAGUGGCGGACGGGUGAGGAAUACAUCGGAAUCUACUUUUUCGUGGGGGAUAACGUAGGGAAACUUACGCUAAUACCGCAUACGACCUACGGGUGAAAGCAGGGGAUCUUCGGACCUUGCGCGAUUGAAUGAGCCGAUGUCGGAUUAGCUAGUUGGCGGGGUAAAGGCCCACCAAGGCGACGAUCCGUAGCUGGUCUGAGAGGAUGAUCCGCCACACUGGAACUGAGACACGGUCCAGACUCCUACGGGAGGCAGCAGUGGGGAAUAUUGGACAAUGGGCGCAAGCCUGAUCCAGCCAUACCGCGUGGGUGAAGAAGGCCUUCGGGUUGUAAAGCCCUUUUGUUGGGAAAGAAAAGCAGCAGGUUAAUACCCCGCUGUUCUGACGGUACCCAAAGAAUAAGCACCGGCUAACUUCGUG
rnacentral:rRNA from 1 species